rnacentral:rRNA from 1 species
AGCACCCUGGACGCGCCCGAUCUCGCCUGAUCUCCGCGGCUAAGCAGAGUCGGGCCUGGUUAGUUCUCGGAUGGGAGCCCGCCCGGGACAGAGGCU